rnacentral:rRNA from 1 species
AACGAACGCUGGCGGCAGGCUUAACACAUGCAAGUCGAACGGUGAACGAGGGAGCUUGCUCCCUCCGUAUCAGUGGCGAACGGGUGAGUAACACGUGAGCAAUCUGCCCUGGACUCUGAGAUAAGCGUUGGAAACGACGUCUAAUACCGGAUACGAGGCGUGGGGGCAUCCCCAACGCCUGGAAAGAACUUCGGUCCAGGAUGAGCUGGCGGCCUAUCAGCUAGUUGGUGAGGUAACGGCUCACCAAGGCGACGAAGGGUAGCCGGCCUGGGAGGGGGGCCGGGCACAAUAGGACUGAGAGACGCACCAAACUCCUACGGGAGGCAGCAGUGGGGAAUCUUGAGCAAUGGGCGAAAGCCUGACGCAGCCAUGCCGCGUGGAGGAUGAAGGUCUUAGGAUUGUAAAAUCCUUUCACCGGUGAAGAUAAUGACUGUAGCCGGAGAGGAAGCCCCGGCCAACUACGUGCCAGCCGCCGCGGUAAGAC